rnacentral:rRNA from 1 species
AUUGAACGCUGGCGGCAGGCCUAAUACAUGCAAGUCGAACGGUAACAGGAAACAGCUUGCUGUUUCGCUGACGAGUGGCGGACGGGUGAGUAAUGUCUGGGAAACUGCCUGAUGGAGGGGGAUAACUACUGGAAACGGUAGCUAAUACCGCAUAACGUCGCAAGACCAAAGAGGGGGACCUUCGGGCCUCUUGCCAUCGGAUGUGCCCAGAUGGGAUUAGCUAGUAGGUGGGGUAACGGCUCACCUAGGCGACGAUCCCUAGCUGGUCUGAGAGGAUGACCAGCCACACUGGAACUGAGACACGGUCCAGACUCCUACGGGAGGCAGCAGUGGGGAAUAUUGCACAAUGGGCGCAAGCCUGAUGCAGCCAUGCCGCGUGUAUGAAGAAGGCCUUCGGGUUGUAAAGUACUUUCAGCGGGGAGGAAGGGAGUAAAGUUAAUACCUUUACUCAUUGACGUUACCCGCAGAAGAAGCACCGGCUAACUCCGUG